rnacentral:rRNA from 1 species
UACGUAGGUGGCAAGCGUUGUCCGGAUUUAUUGGGUUUAAAGGGUGCGUAGGUGGUCAAUUAAGUCAGUGCUGAAAUAUCCCAGCUUAACUGGGAGGGUGGCAUUGAUACUGAUUGACUUGAGUGGUGUUGAGGUAGGCGGAAUUGACGGUGUAGCGGUGAAAUGCUUAGAUAUCGUCAAGAACACCGAUAGCGAAGGCAGCUUACCAAGCUCUAACUGACACUGAUGCACGAAAGUGUGGGGAUCAAACAGG